AACGAACGCUGGCGGCAGGCCUAACACAUGCAAGUCGAACGCGUCCUUCGGGACGAGUGGCAGACGGGUGAGUAACGCGUGGGAACGUACCCUUUGGUUCGGAACAACAGCGGGAAACUGCUGCUAAUACCGGAUAAGCCCUUCGGGGAAAGAUUUAUCGCCAGAGGAUCGGCCCGCGUUAGAUUAGCUUGUUGGUGAGGUAAUGGCUCACCAAGGCUACGAUCUAUAGCUGGUCUGAGAGGAUGAUCAGCCACACUGGGACUGAGACACGGCCCAGACUCUUACGGGAGGCAGCAGUGGGGAAUCUUGGACAAUGGGCGAAAGCCUGAUCCAGCCAUGCCGCGUGAAUGAUGAAGGCCCUAGGGUUGUAAAAUUCUUUCGACGGGGAAGAUAAUGACGGUACCCGUAGAAGAAGCUCCGGCUAACUUCGUGCCAGCAGCCGCGGUAAU
rnacentral:rRNA from 1 species